rnacentral:rRNA from 1 species
AAUGAACGUUGGCGGCGUGGAUUAGGCAUGCAAGUCGAGCGCGAUAUGUAGCAAUACAUGGAGAGCGGCGAAAAGGGAGAGUAAUACGUAGGUAUCUACCCUCGGGUCUGGGAUAGCAGCGGGAAACUGCUGGUAAUACCAGAUAAACGUCUCCGGACCAAAAGGUGUGAUUCCACCUGAGGAGGAGCCUACGGCCUAUUAGCUAGUUGUAGGGUAACGGCCUACCAAGGCAAAGAUGGGUAUGGGGUGUGAGAGCAUGCCCCACUCACUGGACUGAGACGACUGCCCAGACACCUACGGUGGCUGCAGUCGAGAA